rnacentral:ncRNA from 1 species
CCAGACACGGCAAGAUUGACAGAGUGAUAGUUCUUUCUUGAUUCUGUGAGUGGUGGUGCAUGGCUGUUUUUCAUUGGUAGAGCAAUUUGUCUGGUUAAUUCCAAUAAUGAACGAGACUCUGGUAUGCUAACUUGGGCAUGCCCAAGCCCCUUCUCUGCCGCACAAGCCCCGCACAAGCCCCUUCCCUACCUUCUGCCUUCCACUUUGUGGGGCCGGAGUUUGCACUUCAGACCCUGGAGUCCGAACCCAGAGCUAGGCCACGCCCUGCAACG